rnacentral:rRNA from 1 species
GACGAACGCUGGCGGCGUGCUUAACACAUGCAAGUCGAACGGAAAGGCCCUGCUUUUGUGGGGUGCUCGAGUGGCGAACGGGUGAGUAACACGUGAGUAACCUGCCCUUGACUUUGGGAUAACUUCAGGAAACUGGGGCUAAUACCGGAUAGGAGCUCCUGCUGCAUGGUGGGGGUUGGAAAGUUUCGGCGGUUGGGGAUGGACUCGCGGCUUAUCAGCUUGUUGGUGGGGUAGUGGCUUACCAAGGCUUUGACGGGUAGCCGGCCUGAGAGGGUGACCGGCCACAUUGGGACUGAGAUACGGCCCAGAAUCCUACGGGAGGCAGCAGUGGGGAAUAUUGCACAAUGGGCGGAAGCCUGAUGCAGCAACGCCGCGCGCGGGAUGACGGCCUUCGGGUUGUAAACCGCUUUCGCCUGUGACGAAGCGUGAGUGACGGUAAUGGGUAAAGAAGCACCGGCUAACUACGUG